ACCGUUUUAAAACCAAUCUUUUCGUUUCUUUCUUGUGUCUGGUGUAGUCUAUAUAUGGGUUCCAAGGUGUUAAAUAAUCGUAUAAGCGCGUUUGUACUCGUUUCAGCGCUGGAUUGAUACCUUGUUACAUUUUCGUUCCUUAUGCGUUUAAAAAUACAAGUAUAAUAUGUUUAAACCUCUUAAAAAAAUCUUUUAACUUUUUUUUCUUUUCUCUGGUGAGAAAUAACGCUUUAAGCUUG
rnacentral:lncRNA from 1 species